rnacentral:lncRNA from 1 species
GACUUGUUUCUUCAAAAUAUCCAUCAAACAACACUCUAUCAAACUCCUUUGUUUCCCAAAGCCAUUUAAUUUUAAACACCAAGACUUGAAUUUGUUUCGAAACCGACACUACCUAAUUUCGAUCGGGAAUUAAUACGACUCGUCACAUCUUCCGAAACGAGCUCGUAUCACCAUCUCCUUAGGUUUUGUUCAAUUACAGAACAAGUUCUGGGCUCUUUUCAUGUCAUCAGAUCUCCUUUCUCAAAGCACUCAAACCAUAGAUAUUGGUUAAUAGAAUCUUUCAACAUGGCAAAUGAUAAAAACAAAAGCUAUUGACAAUAACAAUAUGGUCUAUUUGGUUUGCCAGAAACUGAUUGAUGCAUAAUGGCAUCAAACAAUGAAUUUAAGAUAUAUCAAGGUUUAUUUUAGGGUAAAUAAUAGAACUAGAAUCGUUAUUACAAGAGAGCUCCUCUGUUUGUAUACCUAAGGCUACUUACUAGAGGCCACUAGAGGAGGGCACUGUGAAAAUUAAUUUCGAUCCCUCUUUUAAUGUGCAUGAAAACAGAUCAUUCUUAGGCAUUAUUAUACGAAACGAAGUGGGUUUGAUAAUGGGGGCUUGUACUUACCCUCACUCCCAUGUUGCAGAUGUGUUUAUGGCAGAGGCUCGGGCAUGCGAACAGGUGAUUUGGUUUGUGAGGGAGCUUGGGUUCUAUUCUGUUUAGAUCGAAGGGGACUCUCUUUCGAUUAUCAAAAAACUACAAUUGGACACACCAGAUAGGUCAAUUUUAGGCCCAAUCGUUGCAAACAUUAAGUAGAAAAUGGGUUUGUUUGCUACUAUUACCUUUCACCAUGUGAGGAGAGAUGCGAAUGAGGCAGCCCAUGUGUUGGCAAGGGAGGAACGUCAAUUAUCAGAGGGAUGGUUAUGGAUCGAAGAAGCACCGGAGUUGGUCGAGAGAGUGGCUGCGGUGGAUUGGUCAAAGUAUUGUCUUUCACGCUAAUCAGGUUUUUGCUUUGGUUUUUCGUAAAACUUCAUCUUUCACUCCGAUAAUCUACUAAAGCUUGUCUCUUUAUAGGAUUUUGUUCUUCUACUGAUUUUCUUCUCUGGUUUUGGAGAGUUUGUUGGUUUCUUGGCUUGUUUUUCUAGGAGGUUCUUUUAUGACAUUUCAAUUCUUUCUUGUUUAAGUUUUUCCUUUCCUUUCCGUUUUAUUUAUUUAGGCUUUAAUUUUUUUUGUUUUUGUUGUUUCCCGAUGAUGGGAUUGUGGAACACAUGGUAGGUUCACCUCCUAAUUUGUUUUAUGGAAGCCAACUAUUUAC